rnacentral:rRNA from 1 species
UUGUCGAAUCCUGCAUAGCAGAACAACCCGAGAACCGGUUAACAACCAGUUGGGAGACGGGGGCAUCGCCCCUUGCGCUCACAAACCCCGCUUGCUGUGGGUAGCCCCACCGGGUCCACAACACGCGGGCAUCAACGAAACCCGGCACGGAACGUGCCAAGGAACUCGAAUAAGAGAAGCGCAGUCUCGGCACCCCCGUUCGCGGGGUGUGUCGUGAUCAAGCGCAAUCUUUUCUAUCAAUAUCAUAACGACUCUCGGCAACGGAUAUCUCGGCUCUCGCAUCGAUGAAGAACGUAGCGAAAUGCGAUACUUGGUGUGAAUUGCAGAAUCCCGUGAACCAUCGAGUCUUUGAACGCAAGUUGCGCCCUAAGCCAUUUGGCCGAGGGCACGUCUGCCUGGGCGUCAAUCAUCUAUUCGUCACCCAACCUCCGCUCCCCGAAAAGGAGCUUUGGUCCCGGGUACGGAAGUUGGCCUCCCGUGCUCUUGAAGCGCGGCUGGCCUAAAACUGAGCAUCGGACUGAUGAUCUCCGAGGCACGCGGUGGUUGUUCAUUCCUUCCUCGUGACGUUGCCAAGGAGCGUCUCCCGUACGGAGCUCCACGACCCUAGAUUUAAUAUCGAUGCGACCCCAGGUCAGGCGGGGCCACCCGCUGAAUUUAAGCAUAUCAAUAAGCGGAGGAAAAGAAACUAACAAGGAUUCCCC